rnacentral:rRNA from 1 species
GAUCAUGGCUCAGGACGAACGCUGGUGGCGUGCCUAACACAUGCAAGUCGAACGGAGAAUUUUAUUUCGGUAGAAUUCUUAGUGGCGAACGGGUGAGUAACGCGUAGGCAACCUACCCUUUAGACGGGGACAACAUUCCGAAAGGAGUGCUAAUACCGGAUGUGAUCAUCGUGCCGCAUGGCAGGAUGAAGAAAGAUGGCCUCUACAAGUAAGCUAUCGCUAAAGGAUGGGCCUGCGUCUGAUUAG